UACAGAGGCCCCGAGCGUUAAUCGGAAUCACUGGGCUUAAAGGGUGCGUAGGCGGGUCAGUAAGCGCUUUGUGAAAUCCCACAGCUCAACUGUGGAACCGCAGGGCGAACUGCUGAUCUUGAGGAAGCUAGAGGCUGGUAGAACGAUAGGUGGAGCGGUGGAAUGCGUAGAGAUCUAUCGGAAUGCCGAAAGUGAAGACAGCCAGCUGGGGCUUUCCUGACGCUAAAGCACGAAAGCGUGGGGAGCAAACCGG
rnacentral:rRNA from 1 species